AGUGAACGCUGGCGGUAGGUCUAACACAUGCAAGUCGAACGGCAGCACAGUAAGAGCUUGCUCUUACGGGUGGCGAGUGGCGGACGGGUGAGGAAUACAUCGGAAUCUACUUUUUCGUGGGGGAUAACGUAGGGAAACUUACGCUAACACCGCAUACGACCUACGGGCGAAAGCAGGGGAUCUUCGGACCUUGCGCGAUUGAAUGAGCCGAUGUCGGAUUAGCUAGUUGGCGGGGUAAAGGCCCACCAAGGCGACGAUCCGUAGCUGGUCUGAGAGGAUGAUCAGCCACACUAGAACUGAGACACGGUCCAGACUCCUACAGGAGGCAGCAGUCGGGAAUAUUGGACAAUGGGCGCAAGCCUGAUCCAGCCAUACCGCAUGAGUGAAGAAGGCCUUCGGGUUGUAAAGCCCUUUAGUUGGGAAAGAAAAGCAGCAGGUUAAUCCCCCGCUGUUCUGACGGUACCCAAAGAAUAAGCACCGGCUAACUUCGUG
rnacentral:rRNA from 1 species